UGUCUUCAACCUAGCUUUCUCCUCUGCUUCAGCCAUGGGGAUGCUGCUCAGGUCCCUGCUUCUCAGUCUCGUCUGCACCUGCAUUGCGGGUAUUUUUGUUUUUCAACUUCCUUUUUCCCAUGGCUUGGUUUUGAAAACCUGAGUUUUGAACCACUUAGCAGUUAGCACACACUACAUGGGCACAUUUCAACUCUUUUGUCAUGUUCUUUUAGCUGGUCUAUGUUUUUGAACUUUUUCGUUCUUUAGUGGGUGAGACUGACUUAACAACUCAAGAUACACUAAGUUUCUAACUAAAAUCUAACUGUUUCGUGUUUUGUGUGCUUCAGGUGAAGUAUCGGCCACAACAAUUUCACUAUACAACAAAUGCUCACAUCCAGUGUGGCCAGGCAUACAACCAGGCGCAGGCAAGCCCAUCCUUGCCCGUGGAGGCUUCAAGCUCCCACCCAACAAGGCCUACUCCCUCCACAUCCCAGCGGCCUGGUCCGGCCGCAUCUGGGGCCGUCACGGAUGCUCCUUCGACGCCCACGGCCGGGGCCGCUGCGCUACCGGCGACUGCGGCGGCUCCCUUUUCUGCAACGGCAUGGGCGGCACACCUCCGGCCACCCUCGCCGAGAUCACCCUGGGUUCGGAGCAAGAUUUCUACGACGUGAGCCUCGUCGACGGUUACAACCUGGCCAUCUCCAUCACCCCCUUCAAAGGGUCAGGCAAGUGUAGCUACGCGGGAUGUGUGAGCGACCUCAACACCAUGUGUCCGGUGGGUCUCCAGGUGAGAUCCCACGACAACAGGCGGGUGGUGGCCUGCAAGAGCGCAUGCUCUGCCUUCAACUCGCCCCGCUACUGCUGCACUGGAAGCUUUGGGAGUCCGCAGUCCUGCAAGCCCACCGCCUACUCCAAGAUCUUCAAAGCCGCAUGUCCAAGAGCUUAUUCCUAUGCUUAUGAUGAUC
rnacentral:lncRNA from 1 species